rnacentral:rRNA from 1 species
UGACAAACCGGAGGAAGGCGGGGAUGACGUCAAAUCAUCAUGCCCCUUAUGACCUGGGCUACACACGUACUACAAUGGCCGGUACAACGGGCCGCGAAGCCGCGAGGCGGAGCCAAUCCUUAAAAGCCGGUCUCAGUUCGGAUUGCAGGCUGCAACUCGCCUGCAUGAAGUCGGAAUUGCUAGUAAUCGCGGAUCAGCAUGCCGCGGUGAAUACGUUCCCGGGUCUUGUACACACCGCCCGUCACACCACGAGAGUUUACAACACCCGAAGUCGGUGGGGUAACCCGCAAGGGAGCCAGCCGCCGAAGGUGGGGUAGAUGAUUGGGGUGAAGUCGUAACAAGGUAGCCGUAUCGGAAGGUGCGGCUGGAUCACCUCCUUUCUAUGGAGA